rnacentral:tRNA from 1 species
GCCUCUAUGGCGCAGUGGUAACGCGUCGCACUUGUACCACUGGAAGUCCCAAACUUCCUAAUGCCAUACAUGCGAAGAUCACAAGUUCAAUUCUUGUUGGAGGCA